rnacentral:rRNA from 1 species
CCUACGGGUGGCAGCAGUGAGGAAUAUUGGUCAAUGGGCGCGAGCCUGACCCAGCCAAGUCGCGUGAGGGAAGACGGUCCUAUGGAUUGUAAACCUCUUUUGUCGGGGAGCAAAAGACGCCACGCGUGGCGUUCCGUGAGUACCCGAAGAAAAAGCAUCGGCUAACUCCGUGCCAGCAGCCGCGGUAAUACGGAGGAUGCGAGCGUUAUCCGGAUUUAUUGGGUUUAAAGGGUGCGCAGGCGGAAGAUCAAGUCAGCGGUAAAAUUGAGAGGCUCAACCUCUUCGAGCCGUGGAAACUGGUUUUCUUGAGUGAGCGAGAAGUAUGCGGAAUGCGUGGGGGAGCGGUGAAAUGCAUAGAUAUCACGCAGAACUCCGAUUGCGAAGGCAGCAUACCGGCGCUCAACUGACGCUCAUGCACGAAAGUGUGGGUAUCGAACAGGAUUAGAUACCCUUGUAGUC